AAUUUUCCACUUAAGUUUCAGUAGAUCCCUAUGUCGAGCCCCAGCAUUCAGACCCUUCCACCCUACCCUGUUUAACCUCUGGACAAUGCAUCUUACAUGGAUAUUAAGCUUUUGUUAAUAGGCGUUGUGCCUCCUUUAUAAAAGACGAGCGGUGGACUUGGAACUCACGCAAUUGACAGUGAGACUUCUAUCAGACCACCUCUUCACUACAGAAAUCAGUAAAGAUGACUUCUGUGCUUUAUCAUUGUGUGGUGAUCUUGUUACUCAGUCUGUUUGUCAUCGCCGAAACUUUGCCAUUAAACUCCAAAACAGAGAAACUCAAUAGCAAACAGAGUCAAAUAGAUUCAUCAUCAACCAAAAUAGGAUCCAAAACCCUUGUAGCAAUGACGUCACAGAGUGAGACUCGUUCGGAUACCUCCGACUCUGUGACAAUCUUUUGUCCAACUCAGAAAUGCAUCGAACAGAUAAAGCUGUUCAUCGCCAGUCAUCCAAAUGAAGGGUUGGUGCUCCUAGGGGGACGAUGGUAGCAGAGACGAUCAAAAUUGUGUUCGAACUUGAAAUAAAGAAAUAUCCUUGGGAAUCUCAACGUG